rnacentral:tRNA from 1 species
GGGCCUGUAGCUCAGUCGGUUAGAGCGCACGCCUGAUAAGCGUGAGGUCGCUAGUUCGAUUCUAGCCAGGCCCA